AGUCGAGCGGUAGCACAGAGAGCUUGCUCUCGGGUGACGAGCGGCGGACGGGUGAGUAAUGUCUGGGAAACUGCCUGAUGGAGGGGGAUAACUACUGGAAACGGUAGCUAAUACCGCAUAACGUCGCAAGACCAAAGAGGGGGACCUUCGGGCCUCUUGCCAUCAGAUGUGCCCAGAUGGGAUUAGCUAGUAGGUGGGGUAACGGCUCACCUAGGCGACGAUCCCUAGCUGGUCUGAGAGGAUGACCAGCCACACUGGAACUGAGACACGGUCCAGACUCCUACGGGAGGCAGCAGUGGGGAAUAUUGCACAAUGGGCGCAAGCCUGAUGCAGCCAUGCCGCGUGUAUGAAGAAGGCCUUCGGGUUGUAAAGUACUUUCAGCGAGGAGGAAGGCAUUGUGGUUAAUAACCACAGUGAUUGACGUUACUCGCAGAAGAAGCACCGGCUAACUCCGUGCCAGCAGCCGCGGUAAUACGGAGGGUGCAAGCGUUGAUCGGAAUUACUGGGCGUAAAGCGCACGCAGGCGGUCUGUCAAGUCGGAUGUGAAAUCCCCGGGCUCAACCUGGGAACUGCAUUCGAAACUGGCAGGCUAGAGUCUUGUAGAGGGGGGUAGAAUUCCAGGUGUAGCGGUGAAAUGCGUAGAGAUCUGGAGGAAUACCGGGUGGCGAACGCGGCCCCCUGGACAAAGACUGACGCUCAGUGCGAAAGCGUGGGGAGCAAACAGGAUUAGAUACCCUGUAGUCACGCCGUAAACGAUGUCGACUUGGAG
rnacentral:rRNA from 1 species